AGCAGCCGCGGUAAUUCCAGCUCCAAUAGCGUAUAUUAAAGUUGUUGCAGUUAAAAAGCUCGUAGUUGAAUUUCGGGAUUAGUACGCUGGUCGUGCCUUCGGUAUGUACUGGUGUUACUGGUUCCUACCUUCUGACGAACCGUCAUGUCAUUAAUUUGGAGUGGCGGGGAAUCAGGACUGUUACUUUGAUAAAAUUAGAGUGUUUAAAGCAGGCUCGCGCUUGAAUACAUUAGCAUGGAAUAAUGAAAUAGGACGUUCGAUCCUAUUUUGUUGGUUUCUAGGAUUGACGUAAUGAUUAGUAGGGAUAGUUGGGGGCAUUAGUAUUCAAUUGUCAGAGGUGAAAUUCUUGGAUUUAU
rnacentral:rRNA from 1 species